UGCCUCUCCCUGUUGCCCUCAGGUCUUUCUGUUGCCUCUCCCUGUUGCCUUCAGGUCUUUCUGUUGCCUCUUUGUCUCCUGCCCAUUGCCUCUCCCUGUUACCUUCAGGUCUUUCUGUUGCCUCUUUGUCUCCUGCCCGUUGCCUCUCCCUGUUGCCCUCAGGUCUUUCUGUUGCCUCUUUGUCUCCUGCCCGUUGCCUCUCCCUGUUGCCUUCAGGUCUUUCUGUUGCCUCUUUGUCUCCUGCCCGUUGCCUCUCCCUGUUGCCUUCAGGUCUUUCUGUUGCCUCUUUGUCUCCUGCCCAUUGCCUCUCCCUGUUACCUUCAGGUCUUUCUGUUGCCUCUUUGUCUCCUGCCCGUUGCCUCUCCCUGUUGCCCUCAGGUCUUUCUGUUGCCUCUCCCCGUUGCCCUCAGGUCUUUCUGUUGCCUCUUUGUCUCCUGCCCGUUGCCUCUCCCUGUUGCCCUCAGGUCUUUCUGUUGCCUCUUUGUCUCCUGCCCGUUGCCUCUCCCUGUUGCCUUCAGGUCUUUCUGUUGC